ACGAACGCUGGCGGCGUGCUUAACACAUGCCAGUCGUGCGGUAAGGCCCUUUCGGGGGUACACGAGUGGCGAACGGGUGAGUAACACGUGAGUAACCUGCCCACAACUUUGGGAUAACGCUAGGAAACUGGUGCUAAUACUGGAUAUGUGCUCCUGCUGCAUGGUGGGGGUUGGAAAGCUCCGGCGGUUGUGGAUGGACUCGCGGCCUAUCAGCUUGUUGGUGGGGUAGUGGCCUACCAAGGCGGCGACGGGUAGCCGGCCUGAGAGGGUGACCGGCCACAUUGGGACUGAGAUACGGCCCAGACUCCUACGGGAGGCAGCAGUGGGGAAUAUUGCACAAUGGGCGCAAGCCUGAUGCAGCAACGCCGCGUGCGGGAUGACGGCCUUCGGGUUGUAAACCGCUUUCAGCAGGGACGAAGCUUUUUGUGACGGUACCUGCAGAAGAAGCACCGGCUAACUACGUG
rnacentral:rRNA from 1 species